rnacentral:rRNA from 1 species
GACGAACCGUCCGAACGUUAUUCGGAAUCACUGGGCUUAAAGGGUGCGUAGGCGGCGCGGAAAGUUGGGUGUGAAAUCCCUCGGCUUAACCGAGGAACGGCGCCCAAAACUACCGUGCUCGAGGGAGAUAGAGGUGAGCGGAACUUAGGGUGGAGCGGUGAAAUGCGUUGAUAUCCUAAGGAACACCGGUGGCGAAAGCGGCUCACUGGAUCUCUGCUGACGCUGAUGCACGAAAGCCAGGGGAGCAAACGGG